rnacentral:rRNA from 1 species
ACGGAAGGCAGCAGUGGGGAAUAUUGCACAAUGGGCGCAAGCCUGAUGCAGCGAUGCCGCGUGAGGGAAGAAGGUUUUCGGAUUGUAAACCUCUGUCAUCGGGGACGAUAAUGACUGUACCCGAGAAGGAAGCUCCGGCUAACUACGUGCCAGCAGCCGCGGUAAUACGUAGGGAGCGAGCGUUAUCCGGAAUUACUGGGUGUAAAGGGAGUGUAGGCGGGACUGUAAGUCAGAUGUGAAAUAUACCGGCUCAACUGGUAGACUGCAUUUGAAACUGCGGUUCUUGAGUGAAGUAGAGGUAAGCGGAAUUCCUAGUGUAGCGGUGAAAUGCGUAGAUAUUAGGGGGAAUACCAGUGGCGAAGGCGUCUUUCUGGACUGUUACUGACACUGAGGCACGAAAGCGUGGGGAGCAAACAGGAUUAGAUACCCUGGUA